AACGUAGGAGACAAACGUUAUCCGGAGUUACUGGGCGUAAAGGGCGUGUAGGUGGUUUCGUAAGUCUGGCGUGAAAUUUCCCGGCUUAACCGGGAGUGGUCGUGGGAUACUGCGGGACUAGAGGACGGUAGAGGCGUGUGGAAUUCCGGGUGUAGUGGUGAAAUGCGUAGAGAUCCGGAGGAACACCAGUGGCGAAGGCGACACGCUGGGCCGUACCUGACACUGAUGCGCGACAGCAUGGGGAGCAAACAGG
rnacentral:rRNA from 1 species